AAAUAAUUUUCAAUCGAAACUUUCCAAUUCCUUAAAUGUAAUUUUUUAAAAAUUUAAUAUUGCUCCUUUAAAAAAUGGAACAAAGUGUGUCGCAGUCUUUAAUAUCUAUCCUUUUUUUCCAAACGUGCAGGCAUCGUAGAAUCACGUACGAUGGAAAAAACAGUUGCCAAUUGUUGUUUGUCACGAACGUCUCGUUUCAUCGAUUAAUGAAAAAAAGAAAAAAAAAAUUCGAUACAAAUCGAAGACUUCGCUCCAGAUCUUCUCGAUCUUUCCCCCUCCCCCUCCCUCGUCGUUAAACGAAGUCACCAAGAGAUCACGCAGAAGCCAUUUCCAUUUGUGUUUUACUGUCCGUCAUAAACGGAUCCACAACGAUUCCUUCUCUUCCUCGACCUGUUUCAACGGAUUAUUCGAACGCAGAACGAAACGAGGCGAUCCGCCGCGUUUAAAAUCGUUUUCUAAGACCCCCACGACUGCUUCUUUCCCUUUUUCUUUUUUUCUCAAUCCUUAAAUUGGAAUUAAAACUCGUUCUAAAACUUCGAAUAUAUUGUUCACACUUGGAUGGAAAUACCGUGCUGGAUACAUCGAUGGGGUUCAAGCGAGCAAUGAAUUCAAGUGCAUUUCGAUUCUGUACAUUAAGGUAUCUAUUUUUUUUUUUUCUUUUUUUUUAAACUCUCCGUCCUAACACACGAGUCGUUUAUUAAAACGAUUCUGCAACGAGGAAAAAUAUUGUACCACCGUGCCUACCAUUUUAAAAUGAUUCUACGAUGAAAAUUUCAAAUAUUUUAUCCUUUACUUUAUUUUUAUAAAUAUCUUGCAGUCGCAGGGUUCUCCAGAGUUUCUCUAAAUUAAUCGAAUUUCUUUCGUUUUCGUUAAAUAUCGUGCCCUGUACUAUCGCAAUUCAAUAUUUCCAAUGUGUUUUUCCUUUGUGUUCCCGUGACUAUUCUAAUCUCGUGUUUAUAUUUAAGUUAAAUCGACUUACGACUUGUGUAUGAGUAUGUGUGUGUGUGUAUGGCGUGUGUGUAUGUUUAUACGCGUGUUUAUAUAUCGUAAACGCAAUAUAUUAAGGCCUCUUAGUUACUAACGACAGGUCGUCACGUUUCCAUCCUCCGAGCUACGACGAUACGAAGAUGGCGGCGACAGAAUUACUUCCCGCUUCUCUCCCAUCAAAAAGUUCCUUUCUUCGUCGAAAAAAAAAAAAAGGAAAGGAAAAUUGUAUUCCAACAAUUGUAUGUACACGCGAAAAGUGCUUGGCUUUGUGUGUAUAUAUAAUAUACUCGGGGGCAAAUGACGAUCCUUGCCCGCAGAAGAUUUUUCUUCGUGAGAAGUUUGCGACGAGAAAAAACCUGCGUCUCCUCUCUUGCCUCGUCGCUUGGCCACCGAAAUCUGAUGCGUGUGCGUGUGCGGAUCAAUCUCGGAAGGAAAUCACGCGGAGAGACACGCCAGUCGUUUCUUCAAGUAAAUACAUAUAAGAUUUAAUUUUAUCACUUCUACUGUGCUCGUUUAUACGCGUGUAUUUCUAUUUCUUUCUUUUUUUCUAGGAUCUUAAGAGAAGAACGCCCUUUGAAGUAGUGGUAUUUAAUGGUAUUUCAACGAGUGUUCAACGAGUUACAGUGUGCAAAUUAUCGGGAGACGAUUCUCCUCUUCACAGAGGAAGUAUAACCUGACCAAGUCUUUUAGAAGUUUUGAGGAACUAUAUAAAAGGUGUCUUAAGUACAGUCUAAUCCCUAUAUUAAUUCGUUCUAAAUUUCCCUACUACUAUGUGGCUCACUGUCGUCGCGGGAUUAGAUAACAGACAGGAUUUCUUGGCAGUAUUUGGUACGAUAUCCUCGAAAUGGAAUUAUUGGUUAUCAUUGACUGGCUCUGUCUCUCCUGAAUAGAAACGAAAGGUGAUUAAAAAAAGAAAAAAAAAGAAGCAAAGCUGAACCGAACUCAGUGUGCACGAUGAUUGCUGUGUCGAAGAAGGAAACUGUGUGAAAGAAAAAAACAGUGCGCAUAAAAACCUGUGAAAGAAACGUUGCAGAGGUCAGUGCUUAGAGGUAGAACUGAAAAUACAUAUAUAAAA
rnacentral:lncRNA from 1 species